UACGAAGGGGGCUAGCGUUGUUCGGAAUUACUGGGCGUAAAGCGCGCGUAGGCGGUUUUGCAAGCCAGAGGUGAAAUGCCUGAGCUCAACUCCAGAACUGCCCUUGAUACUGGCGGUCUCGAGUCCGGGAGAGGUGAGUGGAACUGCGAGUGUAGAGGUGAAAUUCGUAGAUAUUCGCAAGAACACCAGUGGCGAAGGCGGCUCACUGGCCCGGUACUGACGCUGAGGUGCGAAAGCGUGGGGAGCAAACAGG
rnacentral:rRNA from 1 species